rnacentral:rRNA from 1 species
UACGAAGGGGGCUAGCGUUGCUCGGAAUCACUGGGCGUAAAGCGCACGUAGGCGGAUUGUUAAGUCAGGGGUGAAAUCCUGGAGCUCAACUCCAGAACUGCCUUUGAUACUGGCGAUCUCGAGUCCGGGAGAGGUGAGUGGAACUGCGAGUGUAGAGGUGAAAUUCGUAGAUAUUCGCAAGAACACCAGUGGCGAAGGCGGCGCUCUGGACCGAGACUGACGCUGAGGCGCGAAAGCGUGGGGAGCAAACAGG